rnacentral:rRNA from 1 species
AUUGAAUGCUGGCGGCAUGCUUUACACAUGCAAGUCGAACGGUAACAGGCCGCAAGGUGCUGACGAGUGGCGAACGGGUGAGUAAUGCAUCGGAACGUGCCCAAUCGUGGGGGAUAACGCAGCGAAAGCUGUGCUAAUACCGCAUACGAUCUGUGGAUGAAAGCGGGGGACUCGCAAGGGCCUCGCGCGAUUGGAGCGGCCGAUGUCAGAUUAGGUAGUUGGUGAGGUAAAGGCUCACCAAGCCAACGAUCUGUAGCUGGUCUGAGAGGACGACCAGCCACACUGGGACUGAGACACGGCCCAGACUCCUACGGGAGGCAGCAGUGGGGAAUUUUGGACAAUGGGGGCAACCCUGAUCCAGCAAUGCCGCGUGCAGGAAGAAGGCCUUCGGGUUGUAAACUGCUUUUGUACGGAACGAAACGGUCUGGGUUAAUACCCUGGGCUAAUGACGGUACCGUAAGAAUAAGCACCGGCUAACUACGUGCCAGCCGCCGCAGUAA